rnacentral:tRNA from 1 species
UCCUCCUUAGCUCAGUUGGUAGAGCGCGUCACUUGUAUGUUGUACAUAUAUAUAUGACGAGGUCAGUCGUUCAAGUCGGCUAGGUGGAA